GGAAGAGAAUGGAACAAUAGCGUUACACUCAAGAUAGGUGGAAUCUGGAUUGCAGGGACUUGGGAAUGAAAGAAAAAAGCAGAGAUACGACAAGUGAGAUGGUUUGGAAUUUCAAAAGUGUACAUACCUUUGUGCAUCCUGCUCUGAGGAUAACUAGAUUUUUCUGGACAGCUUCAUUGUGGUGCACAUUAUACUACAUCAGAGUAAUUCCCUGAAGAAUCCUGCUUUUAUGUUAUUAUAUUCAGAACUCAAUUGGACAAGACCAUGAGCAACCUCUGUUAAUUGACACUGUUUUAGUAUGAGGUGGACUGGAUGUCUCUGGAAGUUCCUUCCAUAUGACAUGAUUCUGUAAGUUCUGGAGCAAAUUAUGAAUGGCAACCUAGACUCCAAAGCCAGUAGCUAUAAUUCACACCAAAAUCAAUCUGUCAGUUUCAUUUAUUGAGAAAAU